CGCUCGUCCUUCUGCAGGGAGGGAGCGGAAAGGAGCGGAAGACCUCCAAGCACCGAAAGAAAACCCAUUUCGAUCAACUGCGUCUCUUCCGGAUCGAGAUUGCAAGAUUCCUCGCUGGUUCAUUUAGAGAAGAGAAGUGAGAUAGAGAGAAGCAGAGACCUUAAUGAUCGAUGGCACCACUCCAGGGGUCGCCACCGUCGCGAGAUUCUCCACCACCAUCGGUCGAUUGGUCGCUCGUUCUUUUGGAGAUGGAAGAAGACGAAGGCCUCCAAGAAUCGGAAGGAAACCCGCAACGAUCAAUUGCAGCGUUCCGGGGAUUUCCGCAACGUUCGCCACGGCCGUCCAUAAGAAGGAAGAUUUUUCGCUCGAUCUUCUGUGAAUACGGAUAAGGGGAGACUAAGACCUCCAAGAACCCAAAGAAAGCCCUCGAUAUGAUCGAGUGCACCACUCCAGGGUCGAGAUCGUCUCAACAUUCAUCGCCAUCAACGAUGAAUGGAUUUCAAACUGGGUUGCUUAGUGUAUGCUUCACAAGCAUGGUAGCUCUCCAUGCAGGGUGAAAUCUGACUAGAGCUGACUAGCACUACUAGCCUUUAAAGCUUCACUUGACUUCCACAAGUCAUUUCCUGAUGACAUAUUCUUCUCAUAAUGUUGGAUUGCAUCGUUAUGGUGGUGUGCAAUAUCAUCAUGCAAUGGCAAAAUUUCAUCUUAUUGUUGGAGGUGUCAAGUGUACUCCAAAUCAUCUGGAUUCCUCCACCUUGUUAGAAGUGUUACUACCUACAUCGUGGUAGGCAAAGGGCUCGAAUCUGGAUGGAGAAGAGAAACAAAAAAAAUGUCCUCCAAUUACCAAGCAGACUGAGAUACUCAUGAUGGAACAGACUACUUAUUGGAAUUAAACUUGUCAAGAUAUCAUAAAGAGGUUUAUUGUAUUAGGAGGCGAAACACAUUAAAUGCCUAUAGAAAGAUAAACCAAAUUGACUAUUGGUUCUUAAAAGAGUCUCUCGGAAAAGAGUGAUUCAUAUUAAAUAUAAUGAAUGCAAUGUAUCUAUGGGAAUUGUAAAAACCCCUUGUGUUGGGUCAUGAAACAUAGAGAGUUUUUGAAGUUAUAUAAAGUUUUUGAAGUUGUAGAGAGUUUUUGAGUUAAACAUAAAAUAUUUUGUCU